ACGUGUGGUUCAGUGGUAGAGUGCUCGCCUGCCACGCGGGCGGCCCGGGUUCGACUCCCGGCCGACGCA
rnacentral:tRNA from 1 species